AGUGAACGCUGGCGGUAGGCCUAACACAUGCAAGUCGAACGGCAGCACAGUAAGAGCUUGCUCUUACGGGUGGCGAGUGGCGGACGGGUGAGGAAUACAUCGGAAUCUACUUUUUCGUGGGGGAUAACGUAGGGAAACUUACGCUAAUACCGCAUACGACCUACGGGUGAAAGCAGGGGAUCUUCGGACCUUGCGCGAUUGAAUGCGCCGAUGUCGGAUUAGCUAGUUGGCGGGGUAAAGGCCCACCAAGGCGCCGAUCCGUAGCUGGUCUGAGAGGAUGAUCAGCCACACUAGAACUGAGACACGGUCCAGACUCCUACGAGAGGCAGCAGUGGGGAAUAUUGGACAAUGGGCGCAAGCCUGAUCCAGCCAUACCGCGUGGGUGAAGAAGGCCUUCGGGUUGUAAAGCCCUUUUGUUGGGAAAGAAAAGCAGCAGGUUAAUACCCCGCUGUUCUGACGGUACCCAAAGAAUAAGCACCGGCUAACUUCGUG
rnacentral:rRNA from 1 species